AGUGAACGCUGGCGGUAGGCCUAACACAUGCAAGUCGAACGGCAGCACAGUAAGAGCUUGCUCUUACGGGUGGCGAGUGGCGGACGGGUGAGGAAUACAUCGGAAUCUACUUUUUCGUGGGGGAUAACGUAGGGAAACUUACGCUAAUACCGCAUACGACCUACGGGUGAAAGCAGGGGAUCUUCGGACCUUGCGCGAUUGAAUGAGCCGAUGUCGGAUUAGCUAGUUGGCGGGGUAAAGGCCCACCAAGGCGACGAUCCGUAGCUGGUCUGAGAGGAUGAACUGCCACACUGGAACUGAGACACGGUCCAGACUCCUACGGGAGGCAGCAGUGGGGAAUAUUGGACAAUGGGCGCAAGCCUGAUCCAGCCAUACCGCGUGGGUGAAGAAGGCCUUCGGGUUGUAAAGCCCUUUUGUUGGGAAAGAAAAGCAGCAGGUUAAUACCCCGCUGUUCUGACGGUACCCAAAGAAUAAGCACCGGCUAACUUCGUG
rnacentral:rRNA from 1 species